CCGAUCUCCGCAGUGCCCUGUAUGUGGUUACCAGGUCGUCAAACCCUACUUUGUCACUAAGACCCUGUUUGCCCGGCCGUCGCCGUCUCCCUCUAGUGUCGAAGCUCCCUGAUCAUGGGUUGUCCCUUUCCGUGAUGAUUUAUAGUGGGGUCAUGGCUUGUACAUCCUCGGUUAUGGUAUGGGGAUUAGUGAGUGGGGGUGGUCCUAGGACCAGUGUUUCUCUGUUGUAGUUCAUUGGUCUGGGUUGUCCGCUCUCCAGGAGCGCCAUAAUUCCCACAUACUCAGGAAGCGUUGUGGGGACGAG